rnacentral:rRNA from 1 species
UACGUAGGGGGCUAGCGUUGUCCGGAAUCAUUGGGCGUAAAGAGCGUGUAGGCGGCCCGGUAAGUCCGCUGUGAAAGUCGGGGGCUCAACCCUCGAAUGCCGGUGGAUACUGUCGGGCUAGAGUGCGGAAGAGGCGAGUGGAAUUCCUGGUGUAGCGGUGAAAUGCGUAGAUAUCGGGAGGAACACCAGUGGCGAAGGCGGCUCGCUGGGCCAGAUCCGACACUCAUCCGCGAAAGCGUGGGGAGCAAACAGG